GGCUUGGUGGUGGUUUGAGUGUUGGACUACAACUCUGGAGACCAGGGUUCGAUUCCCAGCUCAGCCA